UACGGGGGGGGCAAGCGUUGUUCGGAAUUACUGGGCGUAAAGGGCGUGUAGGCGGGUAGAUAAGUCGGGCGUGAAAUCCCUAGGCUCAACCUAGGAACUGCACUCGAAACUGUUUAUCUUGAGUGCCGGAGAGGAAAGCGGAAUUCCUGGUGUAGUGGUGAAAUACGUAGAUAUCAGGAGGAACACCGGUGGCGAAGGCGGGGUCUCUGGGCCCGAUACUGACGCUGAGGAGCGGAAAGCGUGGGGAGCGAACAGG
rnacentral:rRNA from 1 species